GUGAGGAAUUUUCCGCAAUGGGCGAAAGCCUGACGGAGCAAUGCCGCGUGAAGGAUGAAGGCCUAUGGGUUGUAAACUUCUUUUCUCAGAAAAGAAUUAUGACGGUAUCUGAGGAAUAAGCAUCGGCUAACUCUGUGCCAGCAGCCGCGGUAAGACAGAGGAUGCAAGCGUUAUCCGGAAUGAUUGGGCGUAAAGCGUCUGUAGGUUGUUUAAAAAGUAUUCUGUCAAAGAUUAGGGCUUAACCCUAGAUAGGCAGAAUAAACUUUUAAGCUAGAGUUUGGUAGAGGCAGAGGGAAUUCCCGGUGGAGCGGUGAAAUGCGUAGACAUCGGGAGGAACACCAAAGGCGAAGGCACUCUGCUGGGCCAAUACUAACACUGAGAGACGAAAGCGAGGGGAGCAAAUGGGAUUAGAUACCCUUGUAGUCC
rnacentral:rRNA from 1 species